rnacentral:lncRNA from 1 species
UUUUUUUUUGUUUGUUUGGUUCGGUUUCUCCAUGUAUAAAUAGUGAUAAUAAUGGUGGUUAUCUGCAGGGUCCUUGGGAGGAUUAAAUGAGCUAAUUCAUUCAAAACUUGGAACAAGAUCUCUCAGGUUCUACAUAUUUAAUUAACACUAGCUAUUACUAUUGUAUAGGUAAUUCUGAUCAUUUCUUUUUUUAUGUGAAUAUGGGAUGUUCUACUUUGGGUGCCAUAGGCUUUACCCAACUCCACAUAUCUGUCAGUCCCUGGAAGGAAUGUGUAUAAGUCAUGCUGAUUAACUGUGUAUGGGUAAUGAAGAUAGAUAGAGCUCAUACCAUAGAUAUCAGAAUGAAGUUCCCAGAUGCCUUGACAAACAGAACAUUGCACACAAGGACAAGAAAAUUUAAUUUACCAAGUAUAAAAGCAAAGUCCUGCACAGUCAACUACAGUCAUGUCAGGAAAACCUUGCUUCCUAAAGUCUGGUUGGCCAGUUGAUAAUGUGCACUACAUGCCUGCAGAAGAAAUGAAAAAGCCACUGGAAUCACCCUGGCCAACAUGGAAACCCAUUUUCUUGAGAAGAAACAUUUCCGCAGCCCUCAAGGCUGACAAGAUCACUUCUAGCAUAUGGUGCUCGGUUCUUGGUAGGAUGUUUCAAGAGGAAUAAGAUAAAUAGCAGGUUGGAGAAAGAGUAGAGCCCAAGUCACCUAAGAAAUGGCUAAUGGUCUUAGGAAUACCUCCCCUGGGCAAGAGAACCAAGUUGAUCAAUUGACAUUUAUGAGCACCUACUAUGUGCCAAGCUGUCCUGGGCCCCAAGAAUCACAUGGUGAACAAGACAGACAGCACCUCUGCUCUCAAUAGCUCACAUCCCAGUCACUGCAGACAGUCACACAAUAAACCUGUAAUCAAACAGCAUCAAUGGCUCCAGGCCCUCAGAAGCUCUGCAAAGAAGACAAGACAGCAAUGCCUUUCUAAGGAAAUGACUCUAAGUGGAAAUAAUAUGAAGAAGACCAGAUAGAAAAAAGGAUAAAAUGAUACAUUACCUGUAAAGCAUUUAUCAAAGAGCCUGGCACAUAGUAAAAGACUCAGAAGCUGGUAGUAGUAACAACAAUAACACAAGCAAAUAUUUCUACAGCACUUACUGAGGUGCCAGACUCUGCUGCAAGCACUUUGCAUUUAUGAAGUCACCUGUCAGGUAGCAAUCCUUUCUACCCCAUUUUAUAGAUGAUGAAACUGAGGCACACGGUGCUUAGUAAGUUGCCUGUGAUCACACUAGUAACCAGCUAGUCAGAUCCAGCCUCUGGACCAGGCAGCCUGUCUCCAAAGCCUAGACUCUUCUUGGCUAUUAUGCCUUCCAAGCACAGAAGGAUUCUCUCAUCAAAAGUGUCUGUGUUCUGAGGUAGACCAGAAGACAGAAAUAGAACAAAGUUAGGAAGCUCCAUCAAGCAUACCAAUCAACAAACAGUCCCUGGACACUUGGCAUGUUUCCAGCACCCUGCUAGGCACAAGAUUGUGGUGAAAUUUCAUGUUUAUAUUCAGAACAGACUUGCAGCAAGUGGGAAAGCACUCCCGUGAUACAAAAUAAUCUUGUGGCAUGCACGGUUUUUGCUCCUUACUCUGCCCUUUCGUUCUCCCUUCAGUGACCUUGUUACCUGUAUCAGGAACAUCCAAUCUUAAAAAGAACCUGCUUGGGGAUCCCUGGGUGGCUCAGCGGUUUGGCGCCUGCCUUUGGCCCAAGGUGUGAUCCUGGAGUCCCGGGAUUGAGUCCCACAUCAGGCUCCAGGCAUGGAGCCUGCUUCUCCCUCUGCCUAUGUCUCUGCCUCUCUCUCUCUCUCUCUCUAUGUCUAUCAUGAAUAAAUAAAUAAAAUCUUAAAAAAAAAAAAGAACCUGCUUGUGAUAAAAGAAAAAAAUGCAAGAAGCGACUUAGUACCUUGCCUGAUGGAGUUUUUUUUCUUAAUAAAAUAUUAUAGGAGUCUAGUUGCUGGGAAAUAAUCAGUUUGCAAGUUGAAGGAAAGGUAUAAAACUCCAUGUAUGUAAGGCCUGGUAUGAAAAAAUACUUGCUUACAUACACA